rnacentral:rRNA from 1 species
CCAGUAGUCAUAUGCUUGUCUCAAAGAUUAAGCCAUGCAUGUCUAAGUAUAAGCAACUAUACGGUGAAACUGCGAAUGGCUCAUUAAAUCAGUUAUCGUUUAUUUGAUAGUACCUUACUACUUGGAUAACCGUGGUAAUUCUAGAGCUAAUACAUGCUAAAAACCCCAACUUCGGAAGGGGUGUAUUUAUUAGAUAAAAAACCAACGCCCUUCGGGGCUCCUUGGUGAUUCAUAAUAACUAAACGAAUCGCAUGGCCUUGCGCCGGCGAUGGUUCAUUCAAAUUUCUGCCCUAUCAACUUUCGAUGGUAGGAUAGUGGCCUACCAUGGUAUCAACGGGUAACGGGGAAUUAGGGUUCUAUUCCGGAGAGGGAGCCUGAGAAACGGCUACCACAUCCAAGGAAGGCAGCAGGCGCGCAAAUUACCCAAUCCCGACACGGGGAGGUAGUGACAAUAAAUACUGAUACAGGGCUCUUUUGGGUCUUGUAAUUGGAAUGAGUACAAUUUAAAUCCCUUAACGAGGAACAAUUGGAGGGCAAGUCUGGUGCCAGCAGCCGCGGUAAUUCCAGCUCCAAUAGCGUAUAUUAAAGUUGUUGCAGUUAAAAAGCUCGUAGUUGAACCUUGGGCCUGGCUGGCCGGUCCGCCUCACCGCGUGUACUGGUCCGGCCGGGCCUUUCCUUCUGGGGAGCCGCAUGCCCUUCACUGGGCGUGUCGGGGAACCAGGACUUUUACUUUGAAAAAAUUAGAGUGUUCAAAGCAGGCCUUUGCUCGAAUACAUUAGCAUGGAAUAAUAGAAUAGGACGUGCGGUUCUAUUUUGUUGGUUUCUAGGACCGCCGUAAUGAUUAAUAGGGAUAGUCGGGGGGGCUGUUUCAGAAAGGAAGUCCUGUAGUGGCUGUAACAGAUGAUGGUCAGCCAUAUCAGUCUGAUGUUCCUUCGGUCAGGGGCAUCGUUUGAGAAGGGGGACUCCAAUGAUUCAUUUAACUUAGAUGGGAAGCGGCUCUAUGUACCCACUCCCUCCUUAGUGGCUGGAAUUGUCAUUUAACCCUG